GAUGAACGCUGGCGGCGUGCCUAAUACAUGCAAGUCGAGCGAACAGACGAGGAGCUUGCUCCUUUGACGUUAGCGGCGGACGGGUGAGUAACACGUGGAUAACCUACCUAUAAGACUGGGAUAACUUCGGGAAACCGGAGCUAAUACCGGAUAACAUGAUGAACCGCAUGGUUCAACAGUGAAAGACGGUCUUGCUGUCACUUAUAGAUGGAUCCGCGCCGCAUUAGCUAGUUGGUAAGGUAACGGCUUACCAAGGCAACGAUGCGUAGCCGACCUGAGAGGGUGAUCGGCCACACUGGAACUGAGACACGGUCCAGACUCCUACGGGAGGCAGCAGUAGGGAAUCUUCCGCAAUGGGCGAAAGCCUGACGGAGCAACGCCGCGUGAGUGAAGAAGGUCUUCGGAUCGUAAAACUCUGUUAUUAGGGAAGAACAAAUGUGUAAGUAACUAUGCACGUCUUGACGGUACCUAAUCAGAAAGCCACGGCUAACUACGUG
rnacentral:rRNA from 1 species